GUGUAAUGUGUUGUUCAUGUAAGUUGGCAUUUUAUACCAAAUUCAGUCAGUAAUCAUAUCAAUUGCAUACAUGAAUACCUUUGGAUAUUAAUGAAUAAAGGAAAAAUCAUACCCUCAUACUGGUAGACAAAGCAAUACUUUUCUGGAGCUUAAGAUCAUAUUUUUUUUGUUAGCUCUGAUCUAGUUUUUGUAGCCUCCUCGUUGUGCUUAUGAAUUCAUGUUUGAACUGUUAUCCUCAUAAAUUCAAGAAGUGAAAUCACUGGCAACCUCCUUGCUAACCUAUUAACAUUAUACAAAAGAAUAAUAAAUAUGUUGUAUUUAUAUUCAAAUUUCAUACCAAGAUAAUACAAAUUCCAUCUACAACUUCAUUCUUCUCACAAAAAUUUAUACACACUCGUCAUUACUUAUUCAUACCAAUAUCAGUCCAAACAGUCUAUCAGAAUUCAUACCAUAAAACGCAUUUCAUACAUUUAUUUUUUUACACACAUUUCAUAAAUUUAUAAUGAUAACAUCAUCACUAUUUCAUACACUAUCACGAAAAAAUAUAAUCAAAUCAUUCAAAUAUAAAUACAAAAUCGCCACAUUCAUUGUGUUUACAGUAUACAAAUUACAAAAACCAGUUUACAAAAAACUCAUAACAUCAUUUAUUCAAUUUUCACAAAAAUUAAUUUGUAAUAUGAAGCAAAUGAUCAUACAAAAAAAUCACAAUUUAAAUCUAUUAUACACAACCAAAAUCCAAAAAUUUCAUUUUCAGUUUCAUUGUUCUUAAUUUUUUUUACUAAAGUUGGAAUAAAAAUACAAAUAAUAAAUCGCAAUGAAUACUAACCAGAAGGAUCACAUCUACCACCAUGUUUUAUUAAUAUCGAUAAGAAUCCGUCCAUUACCACAAAAUAAAGAUUUUUGAACCAAAAAUAUUUUGGAAUUAGUCGUGAAUGACGACAAUCACAGAAAAAAAAAUUGAGGGAGUGAGAAACGUUUGAAUAAAAAAAAAUCUAAUUUCUGAAUUAAUUUUAACUGAUUGAGUAAAAAAAGGAAAACAAAUUGACAGAAAAAAAUUAGAGGGAAAGAGAAACGUUUGAAAAUAAAAUAAAAUCUGAUUUUUGAUUUAAUUAUAACUGAUUGAAGUAAAAAAGGAAACCUAAAUAUUCUUAUUUUGUUUUGAAUCCCCUAAAUUUAUGCAUUAUUAAUUAUCCUUAAUGUUAUCCAUUUUUUUAUGAUAUUUAAAAAAAUGUUUUUUACUAUUAUUUUAAUUAAUUUUUUUUAAUAAAAUGUUGUAACCUGAAAUUUUUUAUUGUUACAACUUGAAAGUUUUAUUCUGCUGCUAUAACUUGAAAAUAUUAGUCUAAUAAAUGUCAUUUAUAAAAUUUUCACAUCUUUUAAAUAUUUUGAAUUGUCAAUUAUUAUUUUGACUUAUAGUACUUUCUAUGUAGUUUACAAAUAUAAAAUUUCAUUUAAAAAAUAUUGAAGAUUUCAUACGUAAAUUUUCGGUCAAACUUAAACUAUCUGACUCUCAAAAAAUGAAUUAUGUAACAUGAAUUGGGACAUAGAGAGUAGGUCUUUUUGAUAUAAAGAACUUCUUUGUAAAAUCAUGGUGAUUUGGCUUGUUGAAAUAGUGAAAUCCAACUAAAAGGUGUUGCUUUUCCCCUUGGUAUUUGUAGGCCCAAGAAAAAAGCAAAUCAUUGUGCUUGGAGAAAUUUUUGGUCACCAUCAUCAGUAUUACUAAAAUCUACUAGGUUUUGGUUGAACUCCACAAAAGGUUUUUUUUUUAUAUAAAAAAAAAUAGAGAAAUAGUUUUAUCUUCUAAACCAUAAAAAGUUUCCAUAAACCAAUGAAAUGAUUACUCACAUAAAAAUAUGGAAUAAAUUCAAUUAUUAAAAGUUAUUCCUAAUCCUAUUUUGAAAGUAUAGCAAAUUAUUCCCGCGAGGCGAGACGAGGUAGGGAAAAUUAAAACACAUAAAAGGAUAAUGUCGGCGGAUUGAAAAUUUUGUGGGUUAAGACUCAACCCGUCCCACAUUCACAACUCCCAUUCCAUUGUCAUCCCUAUUUUCGAUUUUUUAUGAGGACUUUAUUAGGAUGUUGUAUAGUACAAAAUUUCCAAAUUUUAUAUCAUGCCUGCAUUGACAAUUGGACCUAAGCCUAUAUAUAAGUCCACCUUAGUCCAUAAACUUCCUUUGCAAAUUAACUAGCCCAUACAUUUCCUUUUCAAUUUAUCUAUUUGAUAUUCAAAACAUCUUAUUUGAAAUAUCAUUAGAUAUAUAUGCCUAAUAUAGAGGAUGAAAUGGAAAAUAAAUAGGCAAAAAAUAUUCAUUAAAAAUCAACACCAUCAAUAUCAACCUCUUAUCAAAUCAAGGUUAGCUUUUGCUUAAUUACUAAUAUCGACAGUGGGCUUAUCUGUGAUCAAACCUUUAAAACAAGUAGAUAUAUAGUCAAUCAAUAUCAAUUUCUUAACAAAUUAAAGAAUGAAGAAUAGUCAUGUUAGCGAUCUUAGAACCUUUAAAACAAUUAGUAGAAACAUAGUCAAUCAAAAUCAACACCAUUAGUAUCAACCUCUUAUCAAAUUGAAUGAUGAAGAAUAGUCUACAGGGGCGACCUGAGAACAUAUGUGUCACAUUUAUAAACAAUAAAUUGUUAGAAACAAAAUAUGCCCAUACAUAUGUUCUCAAAUCAACCCUAUUGAACACAUCCACAUAUUGUUGACUCC
rnacentral:lncRNA from 1 species